GAACAUUGUGUAAAGCUCGUGAGUGUCACUGUGCAAGCGACGGAUGUGAUGCCGACUUCCGGUGCCCAAGUGGCUGUCUCCAGGGCUGGUCAGGCCCCACUUGUCAGAGACGAAAUAUAGCUCUGAACAAACCAACAGAACAAAGCGGCACUGUCAAUGACUGUCGGUGGGCGAACACAGACGCCA